rnacentral:lncRNA from 10 species
AAGAGAAUCACCACAUAUCGUAUUUAGAGGUCCUGCAGAAAGGGCAGAGCGAGUUUCAUGUUUGAGUGCAGCGGAUGCAUGGGCAAAGCAUUACACAGCCGCUCCAUGGAAGUGACAAUGAGCCUUGUCUUUCACACGUAACUCCAGGAACCAGGGGAAACAAAACCAAUUCCACCCAGAGGUAAAUAAAAAUCAAAGAGCGUUCGAGGCAGCCGCAUUGACUCACCUUGCAGACAAGCAAGCAGAGCCGCAGAGCAGUGACCCGUGCCCAGCGCCUCGCAGCUAGAGCUGGAUUGGAAUCCAGGGCUUUGCAGGCUUCCUGCUUCACUCAAUCCUCUUUCUGUUGCCUCUGGCCUCAAGGUGUUGGCCUGGGAGGAAGUAGCAGAUUAAAUUCCAUGGGCACGAAGUCCGUAGCUGACGAAUACUUAAUAUGUUGCAGUUUCACAGUGAAAGUUGGCAAGUCCAGGGUGGGAACAUGCCCCAAGCAGCUGAGUCUUCUGGAUUUUA